rnacentral:rRNA from 1 species
GCGCUCAACUGACGCUGAGGCACGAAAGUGCGGGGAUCGAACAGGAUUAGAUACCCUGGUAGUCCGCACAGUAAACGAUGAAUGCUAGCUGUCCGGGUCGAAUGAGACCUGGGUGGCACAGCGAAAGCGUUAAGCAUUCCACCUGGGGAGUACGCCGGCAACGGUGAAACUCAAAGGAAUUGACGGGGGCCCGCACAAGCGGAGGAACAUGUGGUUUAAUUCGAUGAUACGCGAGGAACCUUACCCGGGCUCAAACGCCGCAGGAAUCACAUCUGAAAGGAAGUGAGCCAGCAAUGGUCUGCGGCGAGGUGCUGCAUGGUUGUCGUCAGCUCGUGCCGUGAGGUGUCGGCUUAAGUGCCAUAACGAGCGCAACCCUUAUCGAUAGUUACCAUCAGGUUAUGCUGGGGACUCUGUCGAGACUGCCGUCGUAAGAUGUGAGGAAGGUGGGGAUGACGUCAAAUCAGCACGGCCCUUACGUCCGGGGCGACACACGUGUUACAAUGGCAGGUACAGAGGGAAGCCACCUGGCGACAGGGAGCGGAACCCGAAAGCCUGUCUCAGUUCGGAUUGGAGUCUGCAACCCGACUCCAUGAAGCUGGAUUCGCUAGUAAUCGCGCAUCAGCCAUGGCGCGGUGAAUACGUUCCCGGGCCUUGUACACACCGCCCGUCAAGCCAUGGGAGCCGGGGGUGCCUGAAGGCCGUGACCGCAAGGAGCGGCCUAGGGUAAAACCGGUGACUGGGGCUAAGUCGUAACAAGGUAGCCGUACCGGAAGGUGCGGCUG